rnacentral:rRNA from 1 species
AUGNGGNNCCUANCAUGCAAGUCGAGCGGUAAGGCCCCUUCGGGGGUACACGAGCGGCGAACGGGAGAGUAACGCGUGGGUAACCUACCCAGAAGUGGGGGAUAGCCUCGGGAAACCGAGGGUAAUACCGCAUGUACUUCAGUCGACAACAGUCGAUUGCCGAAAAGGCGGGGAUCUUCGGACCUGUCGCUUCUGGAUGGGCCCGCGUCCGAUUAGCUUGUUGGUAGGGUAAUGGCCUACCAAGGCUUCGAUCGGUAGCCGGCCUGAGAGGGUGAACGGCCUCAUUGGGACUGAGACACGGCCCAGACUCCUACGGGAGGCAGCAGUGGGGAAUUUUGGGCAAUGGGCGCAAGCCUGACCCAGCGACGCCGCGUGGAGGAUGAAGGCCUUCGGGUUGUAAACUCCCGUCAGGUGGGAAGAAAUGCCCGUCGGUUAAUAUCCGAUGGGAGUUGACGGUACCACCAAAGGAAGCCCCGGCUAACUCCGUGCCAGCAGCCGCGGUAAUACGGAGGGGGCAAGCGUUAUUCGGAUUUACUGGGCGUAGAGCGCACGUAGGUGGCAAUGUAAGUCAUAGGUGAAAGCCCUCGGCUCAACCGAGGAACUGCCUUUGAAACUGCUUUGCUUGAGUCCGGGAGGGGGGAGCGGAAUUCCCAGUGUAGCGGUGAAAUGCGUAGAUACUGGGAGGAACACCGGUGGCGAAGGCGGCUCCCUGGACCGGUACUGACACUGAGGUGCGAAAGCGUGGGUAGCAAACAGGAUUAGAUACCCUGGUAGUCCACGCCGUAAACGAUGGGCACUAGGUGCAGCGGGUGUCGACCCCUGCUGUGCCGUAGUUAACGCAUUAAGUGCC